ACCGUGGCAUUUCCAGGGGCGCUGUAGGGGCAGGACCCGGGGGAGGCGAGGCGUUGCCAGGGGGCGUUACCAUGGCGUUGCCGGGGGCGCUGUAGGGGCAGGACCCAGGGGAGGCAGGGCAUUGCCAGGGGGCGUUACCGUGGCGUUGCCGGGGGCGCUGUAGGGGCAGGACCCAGGGGAGGCAGGGCGUUGCCAGGGGGCGUUACCGUGGCGUUGCCGGGGGCGCUGUAGGGGCAGUACAUCUCGGGGUCCUCCAGGGGUAGUUUCUCCAGGACCCC